rnacentral:sRNA from 1 species
GGUUUCCUGAAGCAGCUGGAAGUCCUGGAUAGUUCCCACCUGAAAGUCUGUUUGCAAAGGCAAUGCGCACUCAGGCACCAGAGGGCAGAGGGGCUCAAGUUCCAGGGUUUUAAGGUGCUUGGAACUCCCAGGAGCCUGGCAAACCUUCAUCCAGAACCUCUUCCUCAAGCAAGACAAAAAGCUGCUAAGCACUGCUCCCUCCGUCUCUGUGAAGAGACCAGCUUCUAACAGACAGUGCUGGGCUGACCCCCCAUCAUGCCAGGCUGGCUCACCCUCCCCACACUCUGCCGCUUCCUUCUUUGGGCCUUCACCAUCUUCCACAAAGCCCAAGGAGACCCAGGUAAGACCCCAGCCCAGGCCAGAAUCUGGGGGAGGCUUGGGGAGACUGCAAGGGUGGGGAAAGGGGAAAGGGCAGUUGUUGCAGGUACCCAGGGACUGAAAGUCAUUGCUGAGAAGGCAAUGGAGGAGAGGGUUGGGGGGCUCUGGAGAAAGCAUUUGGGGAGCAGGGUCUGAUGGGCACUUGGGGCAGUGAGGAUUGGGGGUUCCUGCCACUGUGGCCCCCUCUGCCCAGCAUCCCACCCGGGCCCCCACUACCUCCUGCCCCCCAUCCACGAGGUCAUUCACUCUCAUCGUGGGGCCACGGCCACGCUGCCCUGCGUCCUGGGCACCACGCCUCCCA